rnacentral:rRNA from 1 species
CCUACGGGUGGCUGCAGUGGGGAAUAUUGCACAAUGGGCGCAAGCCUGAUGCAGCCAUGCCGCGUGUGUGAAGAAGGCCUUCGGGUUGUAAAGCACUUUCAGCGGGGAGGAAGGCGUUAAGGUUAAUAACCUUGGCGAUUGACGUUACCCGCAGAAGAAGCACCGGCUAACUCCGUGCCAGCAGCCGCGGUAAUACGGAGGGUGCAAGCGUUAAUCGGAAUUACUGGGCGUAAAGCGCACGCAGGCGGUCCGUCAAGUCGGAUAUGAAAUCCCCGGGCUCAACCUGGGAACUGCAUUCGAAACUGGCAGGCUAGAGUCUUGUAGAGGGGGGUAGAAUUCCAGGUGUAGCGGUGAAAUGCGUAGAGAUCUGGAGGAAUACCGGUGGCGAAGGCGGCCCCCUGGACAAAGACUGACGCUCAGGUGCGAAAGCGUGGGGAGCAAACAGGAUUAGAUACCCGUGUAGUC